UGGGGAAUUUUGGACAAUGGGCGAAAGCCUGAUCCAGCAAUGCCGCGUGUGUGAAGAAGGCCUUCGGGUUGUAAAGCACUUUUGUCCGGAAAGAAAUCCUUGGCUCUAAUACAGUCGGGGGAUGACGGUACCGGAAGAAUAAGCACCGGCUAACUACGUGCCAGCAGCCGCGGUAAUACGUAGGGUGCAAGCGUUAAUCGGAAUUACUGGGCGUAAAGCGUGCGCAGGCGGUUUGCUAAGACCGAUGUGAAAUCCCCGGGCUCAACCUGGGAACUGCAUUGGUGACUGGCAGGCUAGAGUAUGGCAGAGGGGGGUAGAAUUCCACGUGUAGCAGUGAAAUGCGUAGAGAUGUGGAGGAAUACCGAUGGCGAAGGCAGCCCCCUGGGCCAAUACUGACGCUCAUGCACGAAAGCGUGGGGAGCAAACAGGAUUAGAUACCCUGGUAGUCCACGCCCUAAACGAUGUCAACUAGUUGUUGGGGAUUCAUUUCCUUAGUAACGUAGCUAACGCGUGAAGUUGACCGCCUGGGGAGUACGGUCGCAAGAUUAAAACUCAAAUGAAUUGACGGG
rnacentral:rRNA from 1 species